UACACUCCUGCGGGAGGCAGCAGUGGGGAAUAUUGCACAAUGGGCGCAAGCCUGAUGCAGCCAUGCCGCGUGUAUGAAGAAGGCCUUCGGGUUGUAAAGUACUUUCAGCGGGGAGGAAGGCGAUAAGGUUAAUAACCUUGUCGAUUGACGUUACCCGCAGAAGAAGCACCGGCUAACUCCGUGCCAGCAGCCGCGGUAAUACGGAGGGUGCAAGCGUUAAUCGGAAUUACUGGGCGUAAAGCGCACGCAGGCGGUCUGUCAAGUCGGAUGUGAAAUCCCCGGGCUCAACCUGGGAACUGCAUUCGAAACUGGCAGGCUAGAGUCUUGUAGAGGGGGGUAGAAUUCCAGGUGUAGCGGUGAAAUGCGUAGAGAUCUGGAGGAAUACCGGUGGCGAAGGCGGCCCCCUGGACAAAGACUGACGCUCAGGUGCGAAAGCGUGGGGAGCAAACAGGAUUAGAAACCCUAGUAGUCCC
rnacentral:rRNA from 1 species